rnacentral:rRNA from 1 species
CAGUCGCCACGGGAAUACGAAGGGGGCUAGCGUUGUUCGGAAUCACUGGGCGUAAAGGGUGCGUAGGCGGGAUCUUAAGUCAGGGGUGAAAUCCCGAGGCUCAACCUCGGAACUGCCUUUGAUACUGGGGUCCUUGAGUCCGGAAGAGGUGAGUGGAACUGCGAGUGUAGAGCUGAAAUUCGUAGAUAUUCGUAAGAACACCGGUGGCGAAGGCGGCUCACUGGUCCGGAACUGACGCUGAGGCACGACAGCGUGGGGAGCAAACAGGAUUAGAUACCCCUGUAGUCCCUGUCUCUUAUAC